AUAUAGAUAUGAAACUAAGAACAACUAAUACAAAGCAACACAGAAUCCAAAAUUUUUUAUUUGAAGAAUUUUGUGAUAUCCUUAAAUUUAAUGUACAGGUAAUAUCCAAAAAGAAAUGCCCUCAAUAUUUUCAACAGAGGUAGAAGCUACCAGAGACUCACUGGGUCUGAUUCUGAUGACUGGAAUGUAGCUCUCCUAAGAUGCUGUCUGCACUUCCGAGCUUCUUCUUCUGAUUGACCCAUGUUGAUCAGCCUGGACACAUACAACAGACUAGAAUUUUGUCACUUUUAAAUCUGCCACCUUCUACGAAUAUGGUCAACUCAGGCUAGAAUGAAAACUAUAGUUGUUCGGCCAAGUUCUAGGCAAGGGUUUCAGAGCGCCUGCUCCUCUGGUUGCAUUCAUAUGGCUGCUGGCAGAUCGGCUCCCUUGUUUAUACAGCCUGCCUUACUCCACAGGGUUCUUCUGAGAAUCAAAGGAGAUCCCAAGAGAGUGAGAUUCCCGCAGUAGAAAGAGCAGUCAGAUGAUCGAAAAUACCUGAAUUCUAAUCCCAGGACUUGACUUAAUUUCUCUGGGUUUUUGUUUUCUUAUUUGCAGGGCGAGGGUAGGAACAUCUCCUCUAUUUGUCUCCUGGAGUAGCGUGCACUACAUGAGAUGCUCUAUGUGAACACACUUUCCAGUUCUGUUUCCAUUUUAGACUGAGAUUUCUGGUCACUGUCAUCUAGAUGAGAUUCAUUUACUUUUAUCUAGUCCCCGAGUCACCAGUUGCAAACAUACACAGAAUGACCGACUGGGAUUAGUGGUGUGGUUUGUGAGGGUGAAAUUGAGUGAGAAGAACCAUAAAAGGCCCCAAAUCUGUGGCCUCAACUUCAUUAAGCAGGCGCAAUAUUCAUCAAUGUGAUCCAUCCUCAGUCAAAUGCAGCCUUCUGCCCUUUUGCAGCUUAGCCUUGCUGUCAGCAGCUGGGGGCCCUGCCCAAGGGCAGAGGGAGGGAGCCCCAGGUUGCCCACACUGCUGAUGAUAUCUGGAAUAUUCAAGGACUGCAAAACAAACCCCCAGUCAUCAUUUUACUUUAAAAAGCAAAAAGUCUCCCAGAUAAUGAGCAUUUUGCUCUAAUAAGAACUGUAGGAUUGAUUAGGUUCAAACUGUUAACAGACAUCCUUAUGGUUAAUGAAGCAGCAUUGAAAAUGCCUCUUGAUUCUUCGGAAACUUAAAUCAUACAAAGGCAGCAAGGAAGGAGAACAGAAUUGGAGGUGGGGUACAGUUAAACUGUCUGCUAGUUAAUGUACUUAAGAUAAUGAACAAAAAAUGUUUGUUCUUUGGUAAGUUAAUAUUUGUGGAGAGUCAUCUCUGCUGUGGGCAAACAAUACACUUUGAUGAUUAUCGUUAAAACAUUCUUUGGGGUCACAUGUUUUCCUGUGAAUCUUGAGUGGAGGAGGAAGCCGCUGCCAUUUUAAUUCCUUUGUUAAUGUCUUUAUGAAUGCAAUUAACACUUCAUUCACGCUUCUUUGUUUCUAGAUCCCAUUAGGAUGUGGUUUAUGCCAGUUUCUCUCUCCCAGGAGACAGCCCACAUCACACAACAUUUCACUCAGCUGUGUGGCUUAGCACUGACAAACUCAAUUUACCAAAGGCAGGAGUGAGUUGACACCAUGCUGCGGCAGUCGUCCUGAUGGGAAGAAACGACUCAUUUCAUUCCAAGGGGGAACACACCUCUGAGCAGCAUGUUUGUAUGCCAGAGUCUGGGAGGCCAGGAAGCAAGUGAAAUCUCUGCAGAUCAAGAAUGCUAAGAUCCAAGGCCUUAAAACGGAAAGCCAACUAUGGUAGAUAAAACAGGUUGCCAUCAUUUUCAUCAAACCUUCGUGAGGGCUAACUAGGUAGAAAGUAAGGGAAGAGCCAGAAGCAAGGGCCCCUCUAGAGCUUAAGAGACCAGAGAUAUCCAUAACAAACACAUCAGCAAGACCAUAAGGCACCACUGGUCUCUGAGCCAUGGGGCCUGGGAGGAGGGCUUUUCUGAGGAUGUGGGACUUAAAGUAAAAGCAGUUCCCCUGGCUAUCCUACAGAGGUCACCAGGAAAGAGGAGGAGGGUGGGAAGAGUUGCAGAGCGGGAAGAGAGGCAGGCAUUAGCAAAGACAGCAGAAGUGUGAAGUGAGUAAGAGGGGUUGUGUUCACAAGAAAUUACUUCCCCUUUAUAUUAAAGUCUCUCCUCCAAUUGAUGGCAUCAUUUCUAUUUCAAAUAUCAGUGUGAUAUUUGCUUAACAGCCAAAGGCACUGCAGAUGAAUAUAUCUGAAUCUUACUAAGAUACUGUAAGAGGAGAUGAAGGAGGUCUGAAGUGACAUCAGAGACAAAGGGAAGAAACAGGCACUGCCCGUCAUUCGAGGAAUGGUCUGACAGCCCCAGGCUGGAGAAUGUGUCUCUCCCAAGUGCUCUGUCACCCUGGUAACCAUGGAGACCAUGACGAUCGAUUAGAUGCCAUCUGAUCUCAACCUCAUAAAAAAAAAAAAAAGGCAGCAGAUGGCAACCAGGCCACUAGACCUGUCUCAAGAGAGACACGAAGGAAGAGAGAAAGGGAAGGAAGGAGGGGAGAAAGGAGAUACUGUGGUAGACUGAUGCCCGGAGAAGAAAGCACAGAAGCAGUUCUGGAAA